GAUAACAAAGCAAAGAGUAACAAAUGUUACGAGAUGUAAAUUUUGACUUAAUAAAUCAACAAAGGUAAAAACAAAACUCUAGAAAAAAAAUUUCAAAAAAUUUAAAAAAAACACAAAAUAAUAAAAUUAGAAAAUAAUAAAACUAUAAAAAGAGUUAAAUAAAAUAAUGUAAAAACUGUAAGAAAAAAACUGAUUGUAAUUCAAUGCGG
rnacentral:lncRNA from 1 species